rnacentral:rRNA from 1 species
AAUCAUCACUUGCGUUCAAACCAUAGCUGGAAACACCGCGUCCCAUCUCGAAUCGCGAAGUUAAGCAGCAUUGGGCUCUCUGAGUACUGUGAUGAGGGAUCGCACGGGAAACGGGAGUGACGCAAGUUCG